GCCUGGAUAGCUCCAUUGGUUGAAGAGCGGUGCUGAUAACACCAAGGUUGCAGGUUUGAUUCCUGUUUGGGACA